CCUACGGGAGGCAGCAGUGAGGAAUAUUGGUCAAUGGGCGUAAGCCUGAACCAGCCAAGUCGCGUGAGGGAUGACGGUUCUAUGGAUCGUAAACCUCUUUUAUCAGGGAGUAAGGUGUGGGACGUGUCCUCUUUUCUAUGUACCUUAUGAAUAAGGCUCGGCUAACUCCGUGCCAGCAGCCGCGGGAAUUCGGAGGAUCCGAGGGUUAUCCGGGUUUUUUGGGUUUAAAGGGUGCGUAGGCGGCCUUUGAAGUCCGCGGGGAAAGUCUGGGGGUCAACCAUCGAAGUGCCGUUGAAACUGGGGGGCUUGAGUAUGUGAGAGGCAGGCGGAAUGCGUGGUGUAGCGGUGAAAUGCAUAGAUAUCACGCAGAACCCCGAUUGCGAAGGCAGCCUGCCAGGGCAUGACUGACGCUGAGGCACGAAAGCGUGGGGAUCGAACAGGAUUAGAUACCCUUGUAGUC
rnacentral:rRNA from 1 species